rnacentral:rRNA from 1 species
CCUUUGUCCAGUUCAGAAAAACUUUCUCUUAAAGAAGGUGUGCCCUUGAGUCAGGAGGAUGGCACUAAGUAUAGGAGUUUGGUGGGUGCACUUCAGUAUCUUACACUCACUAGGCCUGAUAUUUCAUUUGCAGUUAAUAAAGUAUGUCAAUUUCUCCAUGCACCUACCUCAGCUCACUGGACUGCUGCCAAACGUAUACUGAGAUAUGUGAAACAUACUUUGAAUGUUGGACUAACAUUUACCAAGUCAUCAUCUACUCUUGUCAGUGCGUUCUCUGACUCUGACUGGGCAGGUUGCUUGGAUGACAGGAGGUCCACAGGAGGCUUUGCUAUUUUCUUUGGUCCUAACUUGAUUUCUUGGUGUGCAAAGAAACAGGCAACUGUGUCAUGUUCCAGCACUGAGGCAGAAUAUAAGGCAUUGGCAAAUGCUACAGCAGAAAUUAUAUGGGUUAAGGCUAUGCUCAAGGAGCUUGGGAUAUGUCACACACAAACUCCAUGUCUUUGGUGUGACAAUAUUGGAGCAACAUAUCUUUCUGCUAACCCUGUUUUCCAUGCAAGAACCAAGCACAUUGAAAUUGAUUAUCACUUUGUCAGAGAAAUGGUUGCUAGCAAGGAACUGGAAAUUCGGUUUGUUCCUUCCAGA